AACAGGAUUGAGGGAGCAGAGGUAGGGGACAAGUUAGUUACCCCAGCCUUCCCCCCCCCCCCCACUGCCAUUAAUCAUGGCAGUGCACUGUAAGCUAAGAAGUUACCCGAAGUCCGAAAAGGGUGGCGGUGCUUGACGUCACUGUACUACACAGUUCCUUGCCAGCAGCAUGGGAGAAUGGAGGGAAUGUAAGCAGCAGCAUGGCCAAAACAGUGAACGCAGGCUGGGUGACAGGAAGAGGACGUUUGGUGAUGGUAAUUGUCCAUUUUCUGGGAGUGUCAGGAAAAAACGCAGGUGUUCCCAAGCGUUAUCAGGGAGGGUGUGUGACGUCAGCUCCCGCCCCGAUCAGCCUGAUUCUAUCACACUGUAGGAGAAAGUCCUGGGCUACACACAGACUUCAUUCCAUGGAACCUACACACCCCUUUAAAGUCGGAGACAGAGUCGUGGUGAAGGUGCUCCCCAGGAACAAGAGCCCAGGAGACUUCACCUAUGGUCCAGAGACAGAGGUCGUAGCAGUUACCCGAACAGCAGUCCUGACAGAGGAAAGUCCUACCUGGAUCCAUGCAUCCCGAGUAAAAAAAAAAGGU